GGAGAGAUGGCAGAGUGGUCGAAUGCGGUCGUCUCGAAAGCGACUAUCCCGCAAGGGAUCGCAGGUUCAAAUCCUGCUCUCUCCG
rnacentral:tRNA from 1 species